UACGGGGGGGGCAAGCGUUGUUCGGAAUUACUGGGCGUAAAGGGCUCGUAGGCGGCCAACUAAGUCAGACGUGAAAUCCCUCGGCUUAACCGGAGAACUGCGUCUGAUACUGGAUGGCUGGAGUUUGGGAGAGGGAUGCGGAAUUCCAGGUGUAGCGGUGAAAUGCGUAGAUAUCUGGAGGAACACCGGUGGCGAAGGCGGCAUCCUGGACCAAUACUGACGCUGAGGAGCGAAAGCCAGGGGAGCAAACGGG
rnacentral:rRNA from 1 species